rnacentral:rRNA from 1 species
CCAAAAACAUAGCCCUAGAAAUAAUCUAGCGUGUAACCUGCCCAGUGAUCUUUAAUUAUAAUAAGAUAAAAUCUUAAAAACAAGAUUAAAAGGACGCGGUAACCUUGACCGUGGUAAUGUAGCAUAAUCACUCGCCAUUUAAUUGAUGGAUAGUAUGAAUGGUUGAACGAAUAUCCCACUGUCUUAGAAAGAAUUAGAAAAAAUUGAAAUAAUAGUUAAGAUGCUAUUUUAGACUGUAAGACGAAAAGACCCUAUAGAGCUUAACUAUAAUCUUCUUUUAUAAAAAGAAAAAUAAUUCUAUAAUUAAGAAGAUUGGUAGUUUAGUUGGGGCGACUGUUUUCUAAAAAUAACGAAAACAAGCAAUGUUAAUAAAAAACUUAUUGUAUAAUCUAAUAAUUUAACAAUUACAACAGUAGGCUAUAAUGACCCGUUUUUACUAUGUAAAAAGAAAAACGAUCAAUUAAUAAAAGCUACCUUAGGGAUAACAGGAUAAUUUCAUUUAGAGUUCAUAUCGAAAAUGAAGUUUGUCACCUCGAUG